rnacentral:rRNA from 1 species
AUACGGAGGGUGCAAGCGUUAAGCGGAAUUACUGGGCGUAAAGCGCUCGUAGGCGGCUUGUAAAGUCGGAUGUGAAAGCCCCGGGCUCAACCUGGGAACUGCAUUCGAUACUGGCAGGCUAGAGUAUAGUAGAGGCAAGUGGAAUUCCGGGUGUAGCGGUGAAAUGCGUAGAUAUCCGGAGGAACAUCAGUGGCGAAGGCGACUUGCUGGACUAAUACUGACGCUAAGGAGCGAAAGCGUGGGGAGCAAACGGGAUUAGAUACCCCAGUAGUCC